GGAAGUGGAACUGCUGGAUCAUAUAGCACAUCUAUUUUUAAUUUUGAGGAAAAUCUGUUUACUGUUCUCCAUAGUGGCUGAACCAGUUUACAAUCCCAACAACAGUGCACAAUAGUUCCUUUCCUCCACAUCCUCACCAACACCUGUUAGCUCUUGUCUUCUUAUGACAGCCGUUCGUACAGGCAUGAGGUGACAGCUCAUUGUGGAUUUGGUUUGCACUUCCCUGAUGAUUAGUGAUGCUUCUUGCAGGGCCUGUUCUACCCGAUGUGGCAAAAGUGGGCACCAACUCACGCUGCUUUGUUACUGCAGUGCGUGGCUGGAAGCUUGGGUCUACACUGGGCCACCCUAACACCAGGCCAGGACGGUUCUGUUGUAAACCAGUGACUUCCUUCUAACGGCUCAGACAGUCAUGAACAAACGCGACAUGAAAGGCCAGCACAAGAGCUCAGACCUCUGGACCCUCUCUGAGUAUCCCAUAUCUUGCUUGUAAUGUGGUCACACUGGAGCACCUGGUUCUCAUAAAAGUUCAGCCCAAACGAAAUACAGGACCGUAAGCUCCAUCAGUGGACAUGGUCUGUCUGAUGCACUUACCAGGAGGGGAAUACUAUCCAGGAUGGAACACCAAGGAAACCUCUGAAUUGCUCAAAAUGUAAAAAGAAUCCUGAUACUUUAAAUGAUGUCUAAAAUGGUUUUGUUAAGUCGAAAAACACCAGCUGAGAUUUUGAUUUGCAACUCAUCUUAGGUUGGGCUCCUCAGGAAAUGGACAUCGAGAUGAAGAUUUGCAGGCAGGUAACGUUUGGAGAGUUGAAAUAGCUUCAGCCAUUGCUGUGAAGUCUCCACAAUUCUUUGAAGAAAGUUACUCUUCAAACCGCAACUGCUGUUCAAUAAAAAGAAAAGAUGCUGUGGUCAUGGUGUUUGUGCAAUAUUUCUGCAGUAUCAACUUUUGAUUCAGGAAGAGGGGGAAAAAAACCUGUAGUUUCCCCAAGGAAAGUCU
rnacentral:lncRNA from 1 species